AUUCAAGUAUUUUUUGCCAGAGCUUAAUUGGCAUGUCAAAUAUUAUGUUCCUUCUGCCUUCUCUCAGAUCGUUCACAGCUUUGUGGAAGUUACCUGUGGCGCUGAUGUUUAUUCCAAGAGGAAGAAAAAUCUUGCUUGCAGUUCAAUACAUUUUUCAUCGAGCUUGCUAACACAGCUAGCUACCUAGCUUGACACCAACGUGCAACGACUGACCAUGGGUAACUGUCAACUUGUGAGUCUGCAAUAGACACUGGAGGUGAAGGAAUUUGCAUUAUGCUACCUUCUAAUGCGACCUUCAAGUGACUCCCAUGCCACAUUCAACAUGUUUCAGACGCGACCUUCAAGUGACUCCCAUGCCACAAUCAACAUGUUUCAGACGCGACCUUCAAGUGACUCCCAUGCCACAUUCAACAUGUUUCAGAUGCGACCUUCAAGUGACUCCCACGCCACAUUCAACAUGUUUCAGAUGCGACCUUCAAGUGACUCCCAUGCUACAAUUCAAUGAGUUAUUUGAGCAAAAAAAAUUAAGAUUAUUGAAAGCACUGAGUUGUCAGUCAUGAGUCAUUCAAACUUUUCAAAAGUAUACCACAGCAUGCAUGCUACUGUGAUUUAGUGCUGAACUUUGUAGUUUUAUACAUAUAAGGUAAAAAGCCAAAUUCAUUAAAAUACAUGGCAACAUC